UGGGGAAUUUUGGACAAUGGGCGAAAGCCUGAUCCAGCAAUGCCGCGUGUGUGAAGAAGGCCUUCGGGUUGUAAAGCACUUUUGUCCGGAAAGAAAUCCUUGGCUCUAAUACAGUCGGGGGAUGACGGUACCGGAAGAAUAAGCACCGGCUAACUACGUGCCAGCAGCCGCGGUAAUACGUAGGGUGCAAGCGUUAAUCGGAAUUACUGGGCGUAAAGCGUGCGCAGGCGGUUUGCUAAGACCGAUGUGAAAUCCCCGGGCUCAACCUGGGAACUGCAUUGGUGACUGGCAGGCUAGAGUAUGGCAGGAGGGGGGUAGAAUUCCACGUGUAGCAGUGAAAUGCGUAGAGAUGUGGAGGAAUACCGAUGGCGAAGGCAGCCCCCUGGGCAAGUACUGACGCUCAUGCACGAAAGCGUGGGGAGCAAACNGGAUUAAUACCCUGGUAGUCCACGCCCUAAAANGAUGUCAACUAGUUGUUGGGGAUUCAUUUCCUUAGUAACGUAGCUAACGCGUGAAG
rnacentral:rRNA from 1 species